rnacentral:rRNA from 1 species
CCGGCACGGGUGAGUAACACGUAUCCAACCUGCCGUCUACUCUUGGCCAGCCUUCUGAAAGGAAGAUUAAUCCAGGAUGGCAUCAUGAGUUCACAUGUCCGCAUGAUUAAAGGUAUUUUCCGGUAGACGAUGGGGAUGCGUUCCAUUAGAUAGUAGGCGGGGUAACGGCCCACCUAGUCAACGAUGGAUAGGGGUCCUGAGAGGAAGGUCCCCCACAUUGGAACUGAGACACGGUCCAA